GGUUAAGCGACUAAGCGUACACGGUGGAUGCCCUGGCAGUCAGAGGCGAUGAAGGACGUGCUAAUCUGCGAUAAGCGUCGGUAAGGUGAUAUGAACCGUUAUAACCGGCGAUUUCCGAAUGGGGAAACCCAGUGUGAUUCGUCACACUAUCAUUAACUGAAUCCAUAGGUUAAUGAGGCGAACCGGGGGAACUGAAACAUCUAAGUACCCCGAGGAAAAGAAAUCAACCGAGAUUCCCCCAGUAGCGGCGAGCGAACGGGGAGGAGCCCAGAGCCUGAAUCAGUGUGUGUGUUAGUGGAAGCGUCUGGAAAGGCGCGCGAUACAGGGUGACAGCCCCGUACACAAAAAUGCACAUGCUGUGAGCUCGAUGAGUAGGGCGGGACACGUGGUAUCCUGUCUGAAUAUGGGGGGACCAUCCUCCAAGGCUAAAUACUCCUGACUGACCGAUAGUGAACCAGUACCGUGAGGGAAAGGCGAAAAGAACCCCGGCGAGGGGAGUGAAAAAGAACCUGAAACCGUGUACGUACAAGCAGUGGGAGCACAGAGCAAUCUGUGUGACUGCGUACCUUUUGUAUAAUGGGUCAGCGACUUAUAUUCUGUAGCAAGGUUAACCGAAUAGGGGAGCCGAAGGGAAACCGAGUCUUAACUGGGCGUUAAGUUGCAGGGUAUAGACCCGAAACCCGGUGAUCUAGCCAUGGGCAGGUUGAAGGUUGGGUAACACUAACUGGAGGACCGAACCGACUAAUGUUGAAAAAUUAGCGGAUGACUUGUGGCUGGGGGUGAAAGGCCAAUCAAACCGGGAGAUAGCUGGUUCUCCCCGAAAGCUAUUUAGGUAGCGCCUCGUGAAUUCAUCUCCGGGGGUAGAGCACUGUUUCGGCAAGGGGGUCAUCCCGACUUACCAACCCGAUGCAAACUGCGAAUACCGGAGAAUGUUAUCACGGGAGACACACGGCGGGUGCUAACGUCCGUCGUGAAGAGGGAAACAACCCAGACCGCCAGCUAAGGUCCCAAAGUCAUGGUUAAGUGGGAAACGAUGUGGGAAGGCCCAGACAGCCAGGAUGUUGGCUUAGAAGCAGCCAUCAUUUAAAGAAAGCGUAAUAGCUCACUGGUCGAGUCGGCCUGCGCGGAAGAUGUAACGGGGCUAAACCAUGCACCGAAGCUGCGGCAGCGACGCUGAUGCGUUGUUGGGUAGGGGAGCGUUCUGUAAGCCUGUGAAGGUGUGCUGUGAGGCAUGCUGGAGGUAUCAGAAGUGCGAAUGCUGACAUAAGUAACGAUAAAGCGGGUGAAAAGCCCGCUCGCCGGAAGACCAAGGGUUCCUGUCCAACGUUAAUCGGGGCAGGGUGAGUCGACCCCUAAGGCGAGGCCGAAAGGCGUAGUCGAUGGGAAACAGGUUAAUAUUCCUGUACUUGGUGUUACUGCGAAGGGGGGACGGAGAAGGCUAUGUUGGCCGGGCGACGGUUGUCCCGGUUUAAGCGUGUAGGCUGGUUUUCCAGGCAAAUCCGGAAAACUAAGGCUGAGGCGUGAUGACGAGGCACUACGGUGCUGAAGCAACAAAUGCCCUGCUUCCAGGAAAAGCCUCUAAGCAUCAGGUAACAUCAAAUCGUACCCCAAACCGACACAGGUGGUCAGGUAGAGAAUACCAAGGCGCUUGAGAGAACUCGGGUGAAGGAACUAGGCAAAAUGGUGCCGUAACUUCGGGAGAAGGCACGCUGAUAUGUAGGUGAAGUCCCUCGCGGAUGGAGCUGAAAUCAGUCGAAGAUACCAGCUGGCUGCAACUGUUUAUUAAAAACACAGCACUGUGCAAACACGAAAGUGGACGUAUACGGUGUGACGCCUGCCCGGUGCCGGAAGGUUAAUUGAUGGGGUCAGCGCAAGCGAAGCUCUUGAUCGAAGCCCCGGUAAACGGCGGCCGUAACUAUAACGGUCCUAAGGUAGCGAAAUUCCUUGUCGGGUAAGUUCCGACCUGCACGAAUGGCGUAAUGAUGGCCAGGCUGUCUCCACCCGAGACUCAGUGAAAUUGAACUCGCUGUGAAGAUGCAGUGUACCCGCGGCAAGACGGAAAGACCCCGUGAACCUUUACUAUAGCUUGACACUGAACAUUGAGCCUUGAUGUGUAGGAUAGGUGGGAGGCUUUGAAGUGUGGACGCCAGUCUGCAUGGAGCCGACCUUGAAAUACCACCCUUUAAUGUUUGAUGUUCUAACGUUGACCCGUAAUCCGGGUUGCGGACAGUGUCUGGUGGGUAGUUUGACUGGGGCGGUCUCCUCCUAAAGAGUAACGGAGGAGCACGAAGGUUGGCUAAUCCUGGUCGGACAUCAGGAGGUUAGUGCAAUGGCAUAAGCCAGCUUGACUGCGAGCGUGACGGCGCGAGCAGGUGCGAAAGCAGGUCAUAGUGAUCCGGUGGUUCUGAAUGGAAGGGCCAUCGCUCAACGGAUAAAAGGUACUCCGGGGAUAACAGGCUGAUACCGCCCAAGAGUUCAUAUCGACGGCGGUGUUUGGCACCUCGAUGUCGGCUCAUCACAUCCUGGGGCUGAAGUAGGUCCCAAGGGUAUGGCUGUUCGCCAUUUAAAGUGGUACGCGAGCUGGGUUUAGAACGUCGUGAGACAGUUCGGUCCCUAUCUGCCGUGGGCGCUGGAGAACUGAGGGGGGCUGCUCCUAGUACGAGAGGACCGGAGUGGACGCAUCACUGGUGUUCGGGUUGUCAUGCCAAUGGCACUGCCCGGUAGCUAAAUGCGGAAGAGAUAAGUGCUGAAAGCAUCUAAGCACGAAACUUGCCCCGAGAUGAGUUCUCCCUGACUCCUUGAGAGUCCUGAAGGAACGUUGAAGACGACGACGUUGAUAGGCCGGGUGUGUAAGCGCAGCGAUGCGUUGAGCUAACCGGUACUAAUGAACCGUGAGGCUUAACCUU
rnacentral:rRNA from 1 species